GUGUAAUGAGAAAGCAGUCUGAAGUGUGAUUGAUUAAUAUGUCUUUUCUUCUUGCAUGUUCUUCACCUGCAUGUCGACCUGAUGAAGAUGAUGAACCAGUUGCACCAAUAAAAACUAACUCCACGAACAACCACAAAGACAAAAACGUGCGACAGCGGAACGCCAACUGAGCCCACAGACCAACAUAGAAGAAAGCUGAAGAUGACCAACUGCAUAUCCUGACCAUACAUAUCCGAGGAGAGGAGACGGUCCUGGCGAUUUUCAGCGACGCAUAUCCUGCCUCACGUGGAGAAGAAAACAACAAUAAUGACAGCAUUACACUGGCAGAAACGAACAAUAAAGACUGUCUUAAGUUUGCCUUAUUCAGGCUCAUGAUCUGUGUGAAUGUGGAUGCUGACUGAACCCAUUCUGAAGGUGAUGAUGAAGAUGAUUUUACUACAUGUGCUGUUAACGUUGCAUUUGGUUCGUUUAUCAUGCCCUCCUGCUGCACUAAUUCUUUUUCAUAUCUACAUGUUGUCUCGAAUGCAUGCAAUAACAUAAUCGAAUAAGAUUCAGAUAUAGUUUUUCUAUUGUUACUUUAAGUGGCGUUGCAUCCAAAUGAAUAGCCAGUGUGUGUGAGAGUGUGUGUGUGUGUGUUUUUAAAGAAAUUUAAAUGGAUAAAAA